CUACUGGGGUUUCUAAUCCUGUUUGCUCCCCACGCUUUCGCACCUGAGCGUCAGUCUUCGUCCAGGGGGCCGCCUUCGCCACCGGUAUUCCUCCAGAUCUCUACGCAUUUCACCGCUACACCUGGAAUUCUACCCCCCUCUACGAGACUCAAGCUUGCCAGUAUCAGAUGCAGUUCCCAGGUUGAGCCCGGGGAUUUCACAUCUGACUUAACAAACCGCCUGCGUGCGCUUUACGCCCAGUAAUUCCGAUUAACGCUUGCACCCUCCGUAUUACCGCGGCUGCUGGCAC
rnacentral:rRNA from 1 species